rnacentral:rRNA from 1 species
GAUGAACGCUGGCGGCGUGCCUAAUACAUGCAAGUCGAGCGAACAGACGAGGCGCUUGCUCCUUCGACGUUAGCGGCGGAGGGGUGUGUAACACGUAUGACCCCUCCUUAUAUGACUGGGAUCACUUCGGAAAACCGGAGAUAAUACCGGAUAAUAUUCCGCACCGCAUUGUUCGUUAGUAAAAUUUGGCUUUUCUAUCACUUCUAGAUGGUCCUGCGCCGUAUUAGCUAGUUGGUAAGGUAACGGCUUACCACGGCAACGAUACGUAGCCGAGCUGAGAGGGGGAUCGGCCACACUGGAACUGAGACAGGCACCAUACUACUACGGGAGGCAGCAGUAGGGUAUCUUCCGCAAUAGGCGAAAGCCUUACGCAGCAACGCCGCGUGAGUGAUGAAGGUCUUGGGAGCGUAAAAGUCGGUUUCUAGGGAAGAACAAACGUGUACGUAACUGUGCCCUUCUUGACGGUAAUUAGUCAGAAAGCCACGGCUAACUACGUG